GCUCAGUUGGUAGAGCGCACCCUUGGUAAGGGUGAGGUCGGCAGUUCGAAUCUGCCUAUCAGCACCA
rnacentral:tRNA from 2 species